ensembl:lncRNA
UGUGUCACCAGAACCCUACCUCCAGGAAGCUCAGCAGAGAAACAGAGAGAGAGAGAGAGACUCUGUUUGUUUGGGAGAAAGUAAAGCCAGAGAAGAAGGGUAUCUGCCUGGUAACCCAGAGAAUAAUUCCAGAUUUUAUCAAAGAAAACCAAGGUGGUAACCUCUAUAAGUCUGCAAGAACCAUAGCGUUUUUGCUAUGGGUGCCCCCUAACACAGAUAUGACUUAGAUCCCAAUAUCCAAGUCCCUUUGAAUACAUGAAAAGCCUUCCCAGAAAGGCUAAGUAGAGAAGCCCAGACUGCAAAGACUACAAUAAACACUAAACUCUUCAGUGCCCAAACACAAACAAACAUCUGCAAGCCCAUCCAGAAAAACAUUACCUCAUCAAAUAAACUAAAUAAGGCACCAGGGACGAAUCCUGGAGAAACAGAGAUAUGUGACCUUUCAGAUAGAUAAUUCAAAAUAGUUGCUUUGAGGAAACUCAAAGAAAUCCAAGAUAACACAGAGAAGGAAUUCAGAAUUCUCUCAGAUAAUUUUAACACAGAGAUUGAUAUAAUUUUAAAGAAUCAAUUGAAUUCUGAAAUUCAAUUGACAUAAUAAAGAAUGCAUCAGAGUGCCUUAAUAGCAGAAUUAAUCAAGGAGAAGAACUGGUAAGCUUGAAGACAGGCCAUUUGAAAAUACAGAGUCAGGGAAGACAAAAGAAAAAAGAGUAAAAAGCAAUGAGGCACAUCUACGAGAUCUAGAAAAUAAUCUCAAAAGGGCAAAUCUAACAGUUAUUGGCCUUCAAGAGGAGGUAGAGAAAGAAAUAGGGGUAGAACGUUUAUUCAAGAGAUAGUAACAGAGAACUUCCCAAACCAAAAAAAGAUAUUAAUAUUCAAGACAUGAAGUGGGUAACAAGAGGGUUAUGGAACAUGAAGCAGAUAUAACCCAAAGAAGACUACCUCAAGGCAUUUAAUAAUCAAAACUCCCAAAGGUCAAGUAAAAAGAAUGAAUCUUAAAAGCAACAAGAGGAAGGAAACAAAUAACAUACAAUGGAGCUCCAAUAUGUCUGCCAGUAGACUUUCCAGGGGAAAUUUUACAGGCCAGGAGAGAGAAGCAUGACAUAUUUACUGCUAAAGGAAAAACCUUCACCCUAGAAUAGUAUAUACCACAAAAAUAUCUUUCAAACAUGAAGGAAAAAUAAAGACUUUCCCCAGACAGACAAAAGCUGAGGGAUUUCAUCAACACUAGACCUGUGCUAAAAGAAAUGAUAAAGAGAAUGCUACAAUCAGAAGGUAAAGGACACUAAUGAGCAAUAAGGAAUCAUCUGAAGGUACAAAUCUCACUGGUAAAAGUAAGUACACAGAAAAACACACAAUAUUAAAACACUGUAACUCUGGCGUGUAAACUACUCUUAUGUUAAGUAGAAAGACUAAAAGAUGAACCAAUCAAAAAUAUAACUACAACAACUUUUCAAGACAGUACAAUGCGACAUAAAGAGAAACAACAAAAAGUUAAAAAGCAAGAGAACAAAGAUAAAGUGUAGAGUUUUUAUUUUUUGUGUGUUUGUUUAUGCAAUCAUUGUUAAGUUGUCAUCAGUUUAAAAUAAAGGAUUAUAAGAUAGUAUUUGCAAGCCAUGUGGUAACCUCAAAAAAAAAAAA